AAUUAUGUGCUUGUUGAAUGCAGAGCUUUGUCUUGAAACAAGCUUCAGCCUGGGAACAACGACCAACCUGAGCAGGGGGCAAAUGGACCCAGGUGAGUUUUAUGCAGUGGUUAAUCAGUUUCCCUUUCUGGUUCUGGUGCAAAAAGAGAAUACAGUGCCCUGAACAUGCAUGACAGCAAGGAAAAAUGUAUGUAUAUCUACAUGGACUGAACUGGCCCGCUCCAGUCUUCUCCAGACAUUUUAAUAUAGAGUGAAAUAGCCUUCACAGGUUCUAGUCCACAUGUAAAAAAUGUAAAAGGAAAUAGAUUUUUGGACCUGUGUGCAUUUGUAAAUCCAGUCUGCAAGAGUGGGCUUCGUACUUGCACUUGUUCGUGUGUGUGUAAGUUAGGAGGCAUAUAAUAUAAAUUGAAGCCUAAUUUUUUCUUUGAAGCUAUUAACACCCACCCACAAGCAACAGGAAACAGACUUCAACUUUAAUUAGUACCAACGCAUUCAAAAUUCACCCUAUAUUUGCCUUCAAGUGCAGCAAAGCAGCUUCAAAGCUAAAAGCUUCUUCACUUUCUAAGUAAUAAUGAGGUAUUAAUGAGGCAAUUAGGGGCUUGUAAACAUGGUGUCAAAGAGAUAUGAACUAAUCACCAGCAACAGGAAAAAGACAGAUCCCUCUGACUUCAGUGCUCUGUGCUCUUCUUAGCCCCCUGAGGCAUUCUGUGCUUGUAAACUAAUCCACAAAAAUGUUCUAGAUUAAUUCAAAACACUAUCCUCCUUUUAAUUCCCUGACUGUCUUCAGGCUUGUUUCUGAAUAGAUGCUCUGUGUGAAGGCUUUUAAAUAUGCACUUUUGUUAUUGCAGUAAAACCCAGAUUGAAGUUCUCUAGCGCUAAGCUGUCAAUUUAUAUUUGGCUCCCUUCUUAGAUACAUAUGAAAUAUUUCUAAAUCAUUUGUUAGGAUAUUUCUCCUAGCUUAUUUCCUUUUAGGCUAUUUAAUUUAAAAAAUAAAGCAUGUAAUUUAAU
rnacentral:lncRNA from 1 species